rnacentral:rRNA from 1 species
UGGGGAAUUUUGCACAAUGGGGGAAACCCUGAUGCAGCGACGCAGCGUGAUUUAGAAGGCCUUCGGGUUGUAAAAAUCUUUUCUAUGGGAAGAAAAUGACAGUACCAUAGGAAUAAGGACCGGCUAAUUACGUGCCAGCAGCCGCGGUAAUACGUAAGGUCCGAGCGUUGUCCGGAAUCAUUGGGCGUAAAGGGUACGUAGGCGGGUAAGCAAGUUAGAAGUGAAAUCCUAUAGCUCAACUAUAGUAAGCUUUUAAAACUGCUCAUCUUGAGGUAUGGAAGGGAAAGUGGAAUUCCUAGUGUAGCGGUGAAAUGCGCAGAUAUUAGGAGGAAUACCGGUGGCGAAGGCGACUUUCUGGCCAUAACCUGACGCUGAGGUACGAAAGCGUGGGUAGCGAACAGG